rnacentral:rRNA from 1 species
GACGAACGCUGGCGGCGUGCUUAACACAUGCAAGUCGAACGAUGAAGAAGAGCUUGCUCUUCGGAUUAGUGGCGAACGGGUGAGUAACACGUGACUAACCUGCCCCUUUCUCUGGGAUAACGCUCCGAAAGGAGUGCUAAUACCGGAUACUCACAUCGAGGCACAUGCCUUGAUGUGGAAAGUUUUUCGGAAAGGGAUGGAGUCGCGGCCUAUCAGCUUGUUGGUGAGGUAACGGCUCACCAAGGCGACGACGGGUAGCCGGCCUGAGAGGGCGACCGGCCACACUGGGACUGAGACACGGCCCAGACUCCUACGGGAGGCAGCAGUGGGGAAUAUUGCACAAUGGGGGAAACCCUGAUGCAGCAACGCCGCGUGAGUGAUGAAGGUCUUCGGAUUGUAAAGCUCUGUCUUUGGGGACGAUAAUGACGGUACCCAAGGAGGAAGCCACGGCUAACUACGUGCCAGCAGCCGCGGUAA